rnacentral:lncRNA from 1 species
GUGAGACGAGAUGAAAAGUUUUCAAAGUUAGUUUCGAUGACAUUGUACAAUAUAAUGUGUAGCUUGAUGGCUAUUUUUACUUUGUUUUAGAAUAAGCAACCCGAGUUCAAUUCCUCCUUUUGUGUACAAUAUUAAUAUAUGCCUGAAUAAGCAAAUAGUGUUUUAUAUAUUACUACAACUCGGCACUGUUUAUGGAAAGUGUACAUAUUUUUCCUUAUAUUAACCGAGUUCAUUCCUCUUUUGAAAUGGUGUUCCAAUGUCUAACGCUCAUUAAUUCUAUGAGGG